rnacentral:sRNA from 1 species
GCUGGGCGUGGUGGCUCAUGCCUGUAAUCCCAGCGGCUUGGGAGGCUGAGAUAGGAGGAUUGUGAGUUCAAAGCCAGCCUCAGCCAAAGUGAGGUGCUAAGCAACUCAGUGUGAGACCCUGUUUCUA